AGGCCCUCUGCCUCUCCCCUGUGAACCACGAAGCACAUCGACGGGGUGCUUAGUGCCCCGCCUCAGUCAGGGCUCAUGGGGGAGGCCCUUCUUUAACGUCUCUUACUGGGCACACCCAGAGGCCACGUGUUCCAGGGUCAGAGAGACCAGGAGAAAUCCCAGCUUCUUCAAUCACGGCUGUGCAUCUUCAAGAAGGUGACUGUGCCUCUCUGAGCCUCAGCCUCCUCUGUCUGACAGCAUAGGGGUCUGCAAGUCUCUAGAGGUCAUGUGAGCUCCAUGGGAACCUCUCAUCUAUACCGUGGAAGCAGCUGCGGGAAGUGCACGUGAGCUCUGUGGCCUCAUGCCGACCAAGACCCUGGGGGUCACACCAGGCAUAGCUGAGAAGCAGAGCAGAGGCCACUGCGGUGACCAGGGUUACUCCCGAGACUCAGAGCAGAGGCCACUGCAGUGACCAGGGUUGCUGCCUGCCUACCACACACCCCACUUGGGCCUCUGGCUGUCUCCUCUCCUGCAGAAACCCCAUGGGCAGGUGUGCAGCCAGCAUGGAGGGAAGACGUGUGUGCCAGCAGAGAGAGCACGAGGCCUGGAGUUCUCAUCUGUGCCACCAGAAGCAGGGGACAGUGAAACAUCAUCCAUGACCACUAGGGAGACGGCUCCAUCCCAGGCAUCACAAACCAGCCCAGAAGUGUCACCGCCUUCCAGGCAUCUUUCCUGGCUGCGGGGUUCUACUGGGUGCAGAAAUGCCCACGUCCCCCUGGCAGGAGGGGCCGGGGCCGGGGCAGGAGAGGAGAGGCCAUGUUUUCCAAGACCGGAGCUGGCAGGAACAGUGUCUCCAGGUGACAAAAGCCUCCGACAAUUUGGCGAGAAAGGUGGGGGUGGGCAUGAGAGGAUGCAGGGCCCCCACCACUCAAGCAAGGAGAGCGGGGGGCAGAGCCACAGAGAAGACCCAGUCUGGAGCCGCUCCCCCCAGCCUGAAGCCCAGCCUCCAGGUUCCAUGAAAUCACCUCCAGUUAUUCCAGGAGAAACGGCGCACGGCCUAGGAAAGAAAGAACAGGCAGCUUGGACCCAGGCUCCAAUCCCGGCUGCUAGUUACCAGACAGGCAGCCACAUCGCGUCUGUGUGCCUCAGUUUCUACACCUGCGGCUAGGUUGAUGGUUGUGCCCGCCCGGUGGGGCUGCUGUGAGUUAAGGGGUGAGAAACGCUUCCCUGUCCACUGUCUCUGACGCGUUCUUCCUGGGUCACCCCUCACUCAAC
rnacentral:lncRNA from 1 species